UAUUUCACCAACAACAACACGCAUCUUCAUCUUCAUCCUCACGAUUGCACAUACUCAGACAGAAGGAGACGAUUGCACAUACUGAGACAGAAGGAGAAACUUAGCGAUUUCGGUUACAAAGCGACGAUGAUGACGGAGAUGACUGCGAAAAGGUUCGGCGGCGGCGGCGGCGGUUAAGGUUCCGCCAUCAAACAUGGUAUCAGCAGUGUUUUCUUCAUCAGAAUCGCUAUCGGUGGGCUAAGCUCUAGGGUUCCGGACGCCGUUCAAUUGAAGGUAACGACGAUUAAGAAGGCAAUGAUGGAGGUUCUGCUUAUAGGCAUGGCGGUGACUUCAGAAACGAACUCCGGUGACUCAACUAGGGUUCCAGCAAGAUUACGGCGCCUUUUUACACUGUAAGUUUGGUUUUCUUGAAGGUUCAAGGACCGAUCAUAAAUGAAGGGGAUGGGUUGCAUUGUUUUCAAUCUAAUAUUUGAAUCAUCUGCUUUCAAUUAUUAUCAAUGAUUUUUACGGCAUAAAUUGACAAUUAUUAUUAUCAACGAUCAAAACUGUUUAGUCGAGGUUAAAUGCUUUGAAAUUGCAGAAUUCAGUUUUGACCUUCCUUCUCACAUCAUUGUGUAACUUUUGAAAUUAUUAAACUUUAGUGAUUGAAUGUGAUAUGUUUUGUGGAGCCGGGGGUGAUCCGUUGGGUGCACCCACUAAGAUUUGGUUAUGUGAAGAUGGUAAUAAUCCGUUGGGUGCACCCACAAUGCCUUUAUCGUGUCAAUUUUCAAAAUUAGCAUCUAUAUGUUUAUGCACAUCUAAGAGAUUUGAACAGUGAGGUGCACCCACAACGCCUUCACAAUCAUCUAUUUUCAAAAUAAUCCGUUGGGUGCACCGCACCCACAACGCCUUCACAAUCGUCUAUUUCUUAGCACCGUGAGGUGGAUAACGUCAAAAAAAUCGGGUACAACUUUUUUUUUUCGAGAAAGAGGGGUUGCAUGGAUGGUGGGAUUGAUCGAUGAGUAAAACGGUGAUGGAAGUGGGCGUUUGAUGGUCUGAAAAGGGGGAUCAGUUCUGGCAGUAGCAAUCAGAUGUGGUGUCAUCUCUGAGGGCGGUAUUCGUCAGCGAUUGGUGGUGUUUUACUGUGGUUUAGGGCCGUGGUAGAUGAAGUCGGUACUGAAGCAAUCAAUUGAAGGGGAAUCUGAACCAUGGCGGUGACUUUUGUGGGCAAUCAUUUGUUGUUUGGUCUUGGUUGCGCUACUGGAACUGUAGUUGUAAUCGGUUUUGUGGGGAUCUUUUGUUGAUCGCUGUCACCUCUUCAUUGCAAGUCGCGGUAGUCUUCACUUCAUGCUAGAAGGCAUAUAAUUGUUUCAUUUAUAACAAUUUUUUGUCGGUGCAGAAAGGAUCUGAAAGCUAUUUUUUUCAGAGAUGGUUUGUUUUCUUUCAGGUAUGUCGUAGUAGUUCUAGAUAUGAUAGAAAUAGAGGUAUGGAUUUCUGGCAUUUAUAUCAUUUUGAGUAACUAUAUACGUUCUACCAGUAGUAUUUGGUUUAGGGUUUGUAUAAUUAAGAUAGGUAGCUUCUGAUUGAACAUCUAAAGAAUAGGAUUUAUAAAAUUAAGAGAGAUCUAAGUAGCUCCUGAUUGUAGAUCUCAAGAAUAGGGUGGCUGAAGCAUUGACAAUGAAGAGAAGGGAUUACAGAGAGAUUGCUUGGAUGAUGCUUCAUCAAAUAGGCAAUGGCUUCUUUUUAUUUGAAUCUUAAAUUUAGUUAUAAAUACGCUGCCACAAUCGGACUAAUGGAUCUGCACAAACGGAUAGAUCAUCAGUUGUAUUCUCUUCGAUCUUCACCACUUAAUUCUAGAGUUCUUCAUUUAGGUGGUGGAUUUGGGAUUUAUAUAACACAAAGCUCCUAGAAGUAAACCCGUAUGACCCUUGGAAGAUAAGAAAAAAGAGAAGAGCGAAAUAAAGUGUGAGAGUGAUUUGUAUAGGCUGUGAUGAUCGUUACCUUGAGCAAACAUGGUAUUUAUAUUGCUUUGUGACCAUAGGUUUGGACUGAGGUUCUAUUCUAGGAAUUUUGUAGUCAACAUUUUGGAUCUGUGCAAGAACGUAUGAUAUCUUAUCCUUUCGUAUGUACCUUUGUUAAUUGUAUUUGUUUUGUCUCUGUAUUCUUAUUAUAGGAUGAUUUGCCA